rnacentral:rRNA from 1 species
GACGAACGCUGGCGGCGUGCCUAAUACAUGCAAGUAGAACGCUGAAGAGAGGAGCUUGCUCUUCUUGGAUGAGUUGCGAACGGGUGAGUAACGCGUAGGUAACCUGCCUUGUAGCGGGGGAUAACUAUUGGAAACGAUAGCUAAUACCGCAUAACAAUGGAUGACACAUGUCAUUUAUUUGAAAGGGGCAAUUGUUCCACUACAAGAUGGACCUGCGUUGUAUUAGCUAGUAGGUGAGGUAAUGGCUCACCUAGGCGACGAUACAUAGCCGACCUGGGAGGGUGAUCGGCCACACUGGGACUGAGACACGGCCCAGACUCCUACGGGAGGCAGCAGUAGGGAAUCUUCGGCAAUAGGGGCAACCCUGACCGAGCAACGCCGCGUGAGUGAAGAAGGUUUUCGGAUCGUAAAGCUCUGUUGUAAGUCAAGAACGGGUGUGAGAGUGGAAAGUUCACACUGUGACGGUAGCUUACCAGAAAGGGACGGCUAACUACGUG